rnacentral:rRNA from 1 species
UACAGAGGGGGCGAGCGUUGUUCGGAAUUACUGGGCGUAAAGGGCGCGUAGGCGGCCAACUAAGUCAGACGUGAAAUCCCUCGGCUCAACCGGGGAACUGCGUCUGAUACUGGAUGGCUUGAAUCCGGGAGAGGGAUGCGGAAUUCCAAGGUGUAGCGGUGAAAUGCGUAGAUAUCUGGAGGAACACCGGUGGCGAAGGCGGCAUCCUGGACCGGUAUUGACGCUGAGGCGCGAAAAGCCAGGGGAGCAAACGGGG